UACGUAGGGGGCUAGCGUUGUCCGGAAUUAUUGGGCGUAAAGAGCUCGUAGGCGGUCUGUCACGUCGGCUGUGAAAUCCCGAGGCUCAACCUCGGGUCUGCAGUCGAUACGGGCAAACUAGAGUAUUGCAGGGGAGACUGGAAUUCCUGGUGUAGCGGUGAAAUGCGCAGAUAUCAGGAGGAACACCGGUGGCGAAGGCGGGUCUCUGGGCAAUAACUGACGCUGAGGAGCGAAAGCGUGGGGAGCAAACAGG
rnacentral:rRNA from 1 species